rnacentral:rRNA from 1 species
GAUUUCUGACAGAGGCUAGGUGCUCGCUUCUUCACGGAAGUGCGGCGCCGUUGUCUGUGUCAUCCUUCUAGAUGACGGGUGUGCUAGGUUUACUCCUGGUGCGCACGGUUGUCUAGAUCUUUUACUUUGAAGAAAUUAGAGUGUUCAAAGCAGGCAUACCGCUUUGCAUACAUUAGCAUGGAAUAAUACUAUCGGACUUUGGUUCUAUUGUGUUGGUCUAGAACUGAAGUAAUGAUUGAUAGGGAUAGUUGGGGGUGCUAAUUCUUGGAUUCGUUGAAGACUAACUUAUGCGAAAGCAUU